ACGACGAAAUCAAAUCUCUGGGGGUUGUCAGGUACAGGCUGCCUUCUGUCUCCAAGCCGUACACAUCUUUGGUCAUCAGAAAGGAUGAGUUUGGGAUGUGCUGUUUCUGGGUCCAGGGUCACUGCCACUGCAAGAGACAUAGACAGGUGAGGCUUGGAAGCCUAGGUCUUAAGGGAUGUGGGGAUAGCUUUGGAGGGAAAAAAAAUAUUUAGGUCUGCCAUCACUGUCAUUAGCCCAUUUUAGUUCACGGAUUCCCGCCCCCACCAUGUGUACUGGAAUCAAAUAAUUUUCUCUUUCAAAGAACAGGUCUCCUGGUCGAUUACUAGGUAAUAGAAGAAAAAGUUCUUCUUCGUCUGUCUGUGAAGCCGCCUUAAUCCUUAGGAAAUAACUACCUGCUGUGAGUUAAGUGUGUCCCUCAGAAGUUCAUGUGUUGGAACCUUAAUCCCUCAUUGCUGCAGUGUUCAGAGAAGCCGCUAUCACCAUACUAUGAAGUAGCACAAGGCCUUCACCAGAUGCAGUCACCCAAUCUUGGACCAUCCAGCCCCGAGAACCAUAGGCUAAAUAAACCUCUUUCCUAGGCAGGGUCUCACUAUGUUGCCCAGGAUGGAAUGCAGUAGGUAUUCAUGGGCAUGCAGUCAUAACACACUACAGCAUUGAAUUCCUGGCCUCAGGUGAACCUCCCACUGCAGCCUCCCAAAUAGGUUGCCUGUUUUAACACUGAAAACAAUCAAGUAAGAGGAAGUUAUCUGCAUUUUGAUGAUGAGGAAACCAAAACCCAGAGCAGUAAAGUGACUUAUUCAAGGCCAGCACAAGUGUCCCAAGAUGCACCAAGCUGCCUGAGUAGGACUGACUCCUUGUCACUACAGAUAAGGCAAAGGCACGCAAUGAUGAGAAGUACCAGGACAGGCAGGAUCACAGCCAGAGCCACUGCUGAGCGGGAGAGACUCCCCACAGAUGGGGCUGAAACAGAAACCACCAACGACUGACAUCAGGGAGCUGUCCAAGAGUUUCUGGCACGUCUCAGAUGGCAGGUGGCUCCGGCACAUCCCAACUGUCUCCAUCACCUCUAGGGAGAGACCUCCAGCCAAGAGGCUCUUUGCUUCUCGUGGUAACUCAAGCCCUGGAUGGCAUUAAAGAUAACUGAGGCUGGGAAUGGUGGCUCACACUUGUAAUACCAGCACUUUGGGAGGCAGAGGCAGGAGGAUCAUCUGAGAU